GCGCGAAAACUUUACAAUGCUGGCAACAGCGAUCAGGGAACCUCGAGUGCCAGGUUACAAAUCUGGCUGUCGAGAUGCCUAAAAAGCAUUUCAUAGCAAGGGCCGGGCAAGACCGGUGCCAGCCGCCGCGGUAACACCGGCGGCUCGAGUGGUAACCGUUAUUAUUGGGUCUAAAGGGUCUGUAGCCGGCCGGAUAAGUCUCUUGAGAAAUCUGGCAGCUUAACGGUCAGGCUUUCAGGAGAUACUGUCUGGCUCGAGGCCGGGAGAGGUGAGAGGUACUUCAGGGGUAGGGGUGAAAUCUUGUAAUCCUGGAAGGACCACCAGUGGCGAAGGCGUCUCACCAGAACGGACCUGACGGCAAGGGACGAAAGCUAGGGGCACGAACC
rnacentral:rRNA from 1 species